AAAAAUAAUUAUUGUUAAAUGUAAAGAUAAUCUUUUCGAAAUUUUUAAUCAGUUAAUAUAACUGUUAUUCUACAAAUAAUAUUAAAGUGACAUAAGGUAAAUAUUAUAGCUUUAUAAGUUUUUCAAUAAAUAUUAAAUUUCCUUUAUUUCAUCAUAAAAAAAAGAAAAAAAAGUUAAUUUCUAGAGAUCAAGAAAACAUAAAAAACAAACAAAUAAGUUAACAAUUUUCAAAGAACAAAUUAUUUUAAGAAUAUUAAUUAGAAAAACUUUAAGGUAUAAAAUUUAACAGAAUUAUAUGUAUGAUAAGAGUAGAAAAGAUAUUUAUAUACGAAAAAGUUUAAAAAAUAUUAUAAACAAUUGAUAAUUGAUAAAAUGUCCAGGUGUUUUAUUUCCUGUAAAACGUGUAUUGUGCAUGCGCAUUGAUCACUUCCUGUGACAGGUAUAUUUUUUUGUAACAGGUACUUGCUGACAUCAGUAUGGCUUGGUCUUCGUGACGUGUCGGGAAUUUCAAAUCGUUGAUAUUUGAACAACAAGACAACUGUCAUAAAAUGCAUAGGAUAAGAAUUCCAAUGAAAGAUGUUCUCUAGUGUACUUCGUUGUGUCCCGC